AGAUGUGGAUGAAUGUUUGCGAGGACUGGACAACUGCGGCGACAAUUCGCUAUGUAUCAACACCAACGGGAGUUUUUCAUGCAGAUGUAUCUAUGGUUAUUCUGGCAAUGGCGUGACGUGCACUGGUGAGUAAUGCAUUAAGAAUUCUUACGCCUUACAGCCAUUUUUAUCAUUUUCAGUUACUUUUCAUCUUGCCCUGGCUAAAUCUAAUCGACUUAUUCUCGCAUUUAUAAGGAUGACAAAAAGUCGAAUUCUAAAAACGGACGGCUAAAGAAAAACACACACAUGGUUUCAACGUAGUAGUUACGCUAAUUAUCUAAGAAAGUUUAAGAAACCAGUAUAAAGUUUGAUCCUGGACACACGGCGCUAUUAUUAAAUACGUCGACCACCAUAUUUUGCCAAUUGCACAAACAAUUGGAAAUAAUUGUCGCGACGUAUUCGCACGUUAUACUAUAUUUAGAAACAUAAAUUAAAAGUUCACUCAUUGACGAAUGUCUGUUUUUUUUCAUCCUUAUGUAGACAUCAAUGAAUGUUCACUGUCGAUUGACACAUGUCAUUCUAAUGCCUAUUGCACUAACACUGAUGGAUCUUUCUUGUGCACUUGUGAGAGUGGAUAUUCUGGAAAUGGAACUGUUUGCCAAGGUAAAUGAACAAUCUGAUUUUUCUAUUCCCUUGAACAAAAUGAUCGCAUAUAUAAAUAAGGAGUAGAAAUUAUUUAUUUGGAAGAAAAGUAAAUUGUCAACUAUUUAUUAUAUAUCUAUAGAUAUCGAUGAAUGUUCUCUAUCCAUUGACAACUGUCACCAAAACUCAAACUGUAUCAACAUUGAUGGUUCUUUUCUGUGUACUUGUGAUAGCGCGUAUGCAGGAAAUUUAAGUCUUUGCCAAG